UUGUAAUUGGAAUGAUAGAAAUUUAAACCCUUUUUAAAGUAUCAAUUGGAGGGCAAGUCUGGUGCCAGCAGCCGCGGUAAUUCCAGCUCCAAUAGCGUAUAUUAAAAUUGUUGCAGUUAAAAAGCUCGUAGUUGAAGUUCUGCUAAAAGUAACCGGUCUGCUUUUAAUAAAGGUGGUAUCUUGGUGUGUAUUUAGCAAUGAUGUCCUUUGAAGUGUUUUUUACUUUAUUGUAAUAAAGCAUAUUCAGGACUUUUACUUUGAGAAAAUUAGAGUGUUUCUAGCAGGCUAACGCUUUGAAUACUGCAGCAUGGAAUAAUAAGAUAGGAUUUUAGUUCUACAUUAUUGGUUUUAAGAGCUAAAUUAAUGAUUGAUAGGGACAGUUGGGGGCAUUUGUAUUUAACUGUCAGAGGUGAAAUUCUUAGAUUUGUUAAAGACAAACUACUGCGAAAGCAUUUGCCAAAGAUGUUUUCAUUAAUCAAGAACGAAAGUUAGGGGAUCGAAGACGAUCAGAUACCGUCGAUAGUCUUAACUAUAAACUAUGCCGA
rnacentral:rRNA from 1 species